AACGCGAAGAACCUUACCUGGGCUCGAACGGCUUAAGAAAAACGGUAGAAAUACUGUCUUCCCGCAAGGGACUUGAGUCGAGGUGCUGCAUGGCUGUCGUCAGCUCGUGUCGUGAGAUGUUGGGUUAAGUCCCGCAACGAGCGCAACCCUUGUCCUGUGUUGCCACUCCGUAAGGAAGCACUCGCAGGAGACCGCCAGCGAUAAGCUGGAGGAAGGUGGGGAUGAUGUCAAGUCAUCAUGGCCUUUAUGUCCAGGGCUACACACGUGCUACAAUGGGCGGUACAAAGCGCUGCAAACCCGCGAGGGGGAGCUAAUCGCAAAAAACCGUUCUCAGUUCGGAUCGCAGGCUGCAACUCGCCUGCGUGAAGCUGGAAUCGCUAGUAAUGGCGUAUCAGAAUGAUGCCGUGAAUACGUUCCCGGGCCUUGUA
rnacentral:rRNA from 1 species